ACGGUUUGAAUUUUAUGAUCACCACCAUAUAAAUAAUUAAAAUAGUAGUAAAGAUUAUUUAUCUAAAAAUUUAUCUUAUAAUCGGACGUCGUUUGAUCUUUUAAUCACUCAUUUUUUAUUUAACGGUCAAAAUCAUCCCAUGCUAAAUUGACAAUGAUAUGUGUUUGAUUGAAGUAAAAAUUUGAUAGUAUGCUACAAACAUCAUCAAGAUCAUUAUUGUAAGUUUUCAGAUUCAUCAGUGAUCUUUAUCCAUCAGAUCAUCAUGCAGUUAUUCUUGACCAUCAAAAUCAAAUUUUAUUGAUUGACAUAGCU
rnacentral:lncRNA from 1 species